rnacentral:tRNA from 1 species
GGUUGUAGCUCAGUGGUAGAGUGCUUGCCUAAGCAUAUACAAGACCCUGGGUUCAAUCACAGCACUACCA